ensembl:snoRNA
AGAGCUGUGAUGAACCCCAACAUGCCAUCUGAGUAAUGCUGCUGAAAAACAGAGGCUGUUUCUGAGCUG